UUUCUGACCAGAGCUGGGGCGGGUGGGUGCCCCUCCACCCUCCCGCCCUCUUUCCUUCCGGUGGAUGACGGAGCCGCGUCCAGCACCGCGGACAGCUCCCGCGGGCGGAGCGGCUGUCAGGGUUCCCCCAGUUCCUGCCAUGGCCCCUCUCAGGGGAGAGCCGAGAGGGAUGGUGGAAAGACAAGGCUGACCAAGCCAGAAAGGAGUCCUGAGGCCACUUGUUCCCCGGGGGACAUUCUCUGACCUCCUCCACGGCCAGGCCCUGGUGGCUCCGUGAUCCUCCUGGCAGCUGUUUGGAUUAGGACGCUUGCAGAGCAGAAUGGCUGCAGCCACUGCCCCAGCCUGCACCCGUGCAGAUUUGGAAAUUCUACAGCCUUACUUAUUCCUGUCUUGGGAAAUCCUUCCUAAUGUCUAACCAAGACCUGCACUGCUAUAGCACCAGUUCUUUGACCUGUGGCUUGACAUGGCUGAGUGGAGAGGACAAAAAGUAGAGGCAGCUACUUCACACAGUUGUCCUGGGUCCCUCCAAGAAGUCUUCCUGUGGGGCUGGGGAUUUAGCCCAGUGGUUUUGCCACCUGCUGCGCAAGCAAGCGCAAGCGCAAGGACCCGAGUUCGAUCCCCUGUACCAAAAAAAAACAAAAACAAAGAAGUCUUCCUGUGUUGGUGCAAGAUGAGGUUCAGCUCCAGCAGGCUGAAGCUGAUGAAGGCCGAGCAGGAGUGGGGAGGACCCAGCCCCAGUCUGGACAGCCCAAGCCCCCUGGAGUCAUCGAGGAUCAAACCUUGUCUGACCCAUUGCUCCCGUGUCCACCAGCUGCGCACCCUCGACCUGUCAUCUCAGCUGGGACGCCCAUGUCCUCAGAGAGCAGAAUCUGGUCUCGUGUUCUAAUAAAAUCUCUUGACUAUCGAGUGACAGCAGUGGUGGUGUGGAUGUGCCUGGGUGGGUGGCAGGAGGGCUCCCUGGAACGGGUCAGUACUAAUGAAGCCACAGUGUCACCCAGGCCAAGCCUCCGGGAAGCCAGGACCCAGAAGGAGGCUCCUCCCACCCACCGGGCCACCUCCUUGCUAUCGAAAACCCCGCCCAUGACCUGUUUUAUUUAGGGGCUGGGGAUUUAGCUCAGUGGUUCCUGACACCUGCCUCACAAGCGCAAGGACCGGAGUUCAAUCCCCAGCACCAAAAAAUAAAAAUUUUUCUUAAAAGUUUUAUCUAUUUUUAUUCAUUUAUUUUGUUUUUUUGAGGCAGGGUCUCUAUGUAGUUCAGGUUAGCCUUGAACUCACUUUGUAGCUCAGGCUGGCCUCAAACUUGUUGACAAUCCUGCCUCAGGUCUCCCAAGCACUUAGAUGAUAGGAAUGAGCCAUGAUGAGUUUCAAAAUAAAAUUUUCUUUUGGUACUGAGAAUUGAACUCAGGCCCUUGUGCUUUCGAGGCAGGUGCAGCGCUGCU
rnacentral:lncRNA from 1 species